rnacentral:rRNA from 1 species
UACGUAGGGUCCAAGCGUUGUCCGGAAUUAUUGGGCGUAAAGAGCUCGUAGGCGGCUUGUCACGUCGGGUGUGAAAGACCGGGGCUUAACCCCGGUUCUGCAUUCGAUACGGGCUGGCUAGAGUGUGGUAGGGGAGAUCGGAAUUCCUGGUGUAGCGGUGAAAUGCGCAGAUAUCAGGAAGAACACCCGUGGCGAAGGCGGUUCUCUGGGAAUGUACUGACGCUGAGGAGCGAAAGUGUGGGGAGCGAACAGG